ensembl:lncRNA
UCUGGUGACUGUUUACCCAGUUUUCCAAUUAUAGUACAGUUUCUCAGUUCUUUGCUUAUCUAGUUAAAGGUAUUAGAAAAAGAGACUGCACAAUGCUGUGCAAAAUAUAAAAAAAAAGAAUUAUAAAUACCUUAGGUUUCAUUCAUUCUUGUCUUAGCAAACAUAAUGCUGUGUUCUUAUUAAGUGGAAAAGAAGUAAAGCGAGACCAACUUAAGAAAACCUCUAUCUCAAUGAGCCUUCAAAUCUGUAUUUAACUGUAGAACUCUGAACUGCCUGGCAUCCCAACAUUGAUAACCAGUGGGAGAUUAAAUGCUACUCCUUGUUCCAAGAUGACACCAAGAUGUGUAGCACAGCUAUCUGUAAAUGAAAAUAAAAUUCAAGUGCUGCCAGAAUUUAUUUCUCUGGCAAACAACAACAGACACUUUGCCAAAUGUAUUCCGAAUGACAAUGCACUUUUUUCUCAUGAUGGGAUACAUUAUGAAAUUCUUCACUGUUCAGUAGUUUAGUCAAUAGUUUCUUUGUUGCUUCAUGUGAAAAUGUUUGCAGGUGAGUAAAAUAAUAAACUUCUUCCCAGUAGCGCUGCCAAUUCAUGAUACUGCCAGAUGAUAGCACUUUACAGCAAUUCUUACAACUCCUUUCAAUUGAACUUCAAGAGAGCUGACCCAGAGCUGUGUUACUCUUUUGUCAAAGUCUUCAUACUCUAAGAUCUGUGAAGUCUGAACAAGAAUAUGCAGUUUGCCACUAGUUGCCUUUAUCUUUCUGAGCUUGAAGUGUUGACAACUACAAGCAUCUGUGCUGCUGUAGUCAUGGAGGUACUGCUGUUAACUGUAUCACAGCCUGUACUUGUCAUGUGCUGGAAACCUCCAUGGCUGCGAGUACCUGGACAGAGAAACACUUCAGUUUUUCUUAUUUAUGUUGUAAGCCUAGUUCAAGGACUUUCAUCUACACAAAGAAUUCUUCCUGAGUGGACUUGCACAAUACACAGUCUUCUGAUAUGCUGUGCAAAUUAAUUUUCAGACUACCCCUCCAGAGACAAUUUUCGUGUAUUGUGUCUUUGCUAAACUGCAAUACAAGUUAUCCUUUACUCGUCACCUUGUCUUGAUUCUUUUUAAAUCCAAAACCAUUCCUCUCCAAAUUUCUUUGCUGUAGACUUUGCAACUAGUUCUGUACGUACUUCCAGCAUAUCGUCCAUCAGUGGUUAUCUGUUGCUACUUAAGAAGUAAGACAGACAGUCAUGCAACCUCUAGAAGUAGCGAAUCAUUUCUAACCUGCAUGCUACUCAUUUCCUAAAUGAGUUAGUUGGUAUAAAGCUGUGUAUUCUUCCUUUGUCAAAAAUUCCUGAAAUAAUCUCUCAUGGAGCAGUCUCACAAAGUACCAAGUAUGUCAGUUCAUCUCUGUUUAAACUGAAACCGGAGAACUCGGCUCCCUGUCAGUUUAAACCAAUACUGACUGAUGCACCUCACCCUGCAGAGUACGCCAGUGUGAGGGUGUAAGAACCCCUCUGGAUGCUCUUGUCUCUGCGGCAACUGGAAGGGAGCAGCCUAAUCCUAGGACAACAGCAGCUUUCUGCUCUUAACAUUGUUUAUUUCUUGUUAUCAUUUGUUUUUUGUUUUUUGUUUUUUUUGUUUGUUUGUUUGUUUUUUUACUGUGCUUUCCCUAUGGAAUACACAACAUAUGACAAAGCUUUUCAGCAAUAUCCUUUGACUGUUUGGCAUGCUUAGCUUAGUUGCCUGCCUUAAACUGUUACUACUGCUUGCUUUUAAUCUUUUCCAGCCAAAAAUUGCUCCUCUCACCUCCUAGUUAUCAGUUCUCCACAGAAUUUGUUCUUGCUUCUGUUCCUCGGACAAAUUCCAGAAGAUAAGUGAGGUGAGCAGGCACAAUGAAGGUGUUAUCAAACUCUGCAUGUGUAUUUCCAAGAGGUAAGCAGAGCUAACCUUUGGUGUGCUGAUAGAUUCCAUGAAGAGCACUCAGAAGCUGUGCUGUAAUUACAUGCCAUGUCAGGAGAGUUUAUCCCCAUGUUUAAUACUGUGCAGAGGUAAUUUAUGAUCUCAGUAUGUCCGGCUGGACUAAUAAUACACUUUUACUCCUGCAUGCCAUCAGAUGGAGAAGCAUCUGCUCCACACUGUAAUGUCAGAAGUUUCAUGGCAGUAUUAUGUGGAUAGUAGCUAAUUAUGUCCAUAAGUGAACUGAUGUAUGUUUCCAGGCAGUACGCUGAAGGGGAGGAACAAUAUUUGUGUCAUCAGGGAAGGCUUUUUAUUUGCUAUGCAUGCAGUUUCUUCUAGGAAUCAGAAUUGUCCUCUUGUUAGGGUGCACCACAAAGCUAUGGAUGUUAUUUAGGCUCCAGCACAAGGAGAGAUACAAAGCUACUGAGUUUAUUUCUUUGUUGCCUUUGGAGGUGUGGAUUUGCUGUUGCGCAGUACUGGUCCUACAGAGCAGGGGGGUAAUGCUGAUGUGCCUUAUAUCUCAGUAGCUAUUUUUUAUGCUGCUUGAACAAUGUGUCCUGAUACAAACAGCCUAUUGUUUGCAAUUUCAUGCCAAGAGCUUUGUGUAUGCAAACUUGCAUGCAAAUCAGAUUAAUUUAUUACAUUUCCCUCCAAUGAAAAAGCAGAGGAAGAAAAAAAACCACUUCGCUUCAGCUACACAUUUUCCUAUGAAUAGGGCAGCUAUUAAAUGAUUUAUGGAAAAAAUGCUAAGAAUGCAAUAAGUUCAAAGAAAGUGAAGUGCUAUCUUUCUUCCCUGACAGCUGGGAACCUGGUUAUUUAAUGUUAACAGUGCCAUCAUCUAACUGGACUCAAACCAUUAUUUGUCCACAAGGAAUAUGUGCAUUUUACUGUAUCACUGCAAGCGGGCAGAUCUCAAAUUACAGGCUUUACUUUCACUCAAAAAAAAAAAAAAAAAAGAAAAAGAAAAAAAAGAAACCCAAAAAGCCACACACACACAAAGUCUAGCACAAUUCUUGCAAGGAAGGGGAGAAGGAGAAAGGAUGUGGGGACAGGUGUUUACUCAUACUCCCUGCCCAUUGCUUUGUCAGGGACAGUGUGGCUUCAGCUGAAAAUGCGAGUAUUCUGAGAGCUUUCCCUGCCUUAGGCCUGCCACAGCUCAAAUCCUUGGAUCUCUGAUGGGACUAAAUUACCAUACCUAUAGGAAUAUUUCUGUGAAGAAUACCUCGUGCUGCACUGCAAGCUGUCUGCUAUCAGUGCUCUCUGGAAGACAGCACACAGAACUAGAACUACAAAGGAUGUGUGUAAUAAGACUAUAUAUAAGUAUUAUAGCAUAAUAUCUUGUAUUAUAUAUGUAGUACUGAGACUGUACUGAUAACGUUAUCUCACAUAUGACAUCAUUACUAAACAGGUGGUGUUUCUUUCAAUUUUUUGACUGUUGCAUUAAGUUUUAUUGAUCCCACAUAUGUUCCAAUGGAAAUGCAAAGUUCACAAAGCUUGAACUUUUUUCCAGAACCACAAAACCAUCUCUUGUUCUACUUGGAAGUAACAAAAAUGAGAUAACUGUGGCUAAUUAUGGAGAGAGAUACUCCCCAAAUCUGGAUUUACGUAAUUCUGUCUCCAUUCACUGUACCAGUCUGGCUUGUGUUGAAGGGGGCUGAAACAGAAGAUGGGCCUGAACUUGGCAGAGCAACUCAGUUCAGGAAAUGUAUGAAAAGCAGCUGUGAAACAUCGUAAGGAGAGGAAAAAAUUGUACCAUAAAAAUAGGACAACCAUAUUUUCCACAAACUUCUCAAGUCAUCUGGAGGAUGUUUAUCUGGAAACAAACACUGCUGUGAAGGCUGGAUCUGACUGUACUAGCUUCAGUAUAAGGCACUAUGCUGUUAUUGCUGUGAAAACCUGGGGAGAUAAAAUAGAAGUGUGGUAAGGUAAAUGUAAUAACUGAGCUGGUAAGCAAUGCACUCUGCCUUCCUGAAGUCAUUUCAGUCAAAAGGAUUCAGCAUUUUGCAAAAGGCAACACAGGCACACUGGUUUGCUAAGAGAUAAUUUCAUAUUUCCUUGCUACGUAAGCUUAUUUUUCUCAUGGAAAUGACAAAAAUUCUACUGAAUGGCAUUUAUUUCUGUGAAGGGAUGUACAUGUGAGCGUAUUUAAGAACUAGAAGCUGGCAUAACUGUGUAUAAGUAAAUGUUUACAGUUUGUAUGAAAUCCCAUGUCAUUUUGAUGUUCUCAUUAUGAAUGAAAUACACGAUACCAUCAGAAAUCACUUUCAUUGGGAAACUGAAAAAAACCAUGCUGAAUUUCUGAAUGCUUCUUCAGUAUGUUUACAUUCCAGCCAACUCCCCAGAGUAUCUGAAUUUCACUUUAAAAAGCUCUGCAGGUCAAA